GUAGUUGCUUUUUUUUUUUUUUUUUCUUUUAAGCGUGUUUUUAUUAAGAAUUUUUGUAGUUUCUUAAUAUUGUAAUAUUAUUUAGGGGUGUUAGCUUUACAAUAAAAAUUUUUGCUUUAGCAAAAAAAAACAUGGAAGGCUGAUAUAGGCUCAAGGCAAAAGCUUCAAUGGAACUUGGUUGAAUAAAAACAUGGAAGAUGUGUUUCCCUCAAGGGAGAAAGUAUUCGCUUAUGAAGGAAGUGCAUUUCUUAAUUCCUUUGCAGGAAUUACGUUCUAUGAAUAAAAAAGAACCAGCUUGAAAGCUAGGAAUUUGUGUAGGUUUGAUCCUGGACCAGUUCAAAACACUGGAGAGGAAGAAAAAUCAUGCAAAAAAAAGAAAAAAGAAAAAAGGUAAUGGUCCAGACAAAGUCUACCACGAGACUCAGAGUCGUUAACUCAAGUUCCUUGGCUCAACUCUCAACUUGGAACGAGCAAGCCAGAUAAAAACCACUCCAGAUCCGACUCGCAUAGCCACCUCAAAGGCCCCUACGCGGGUUACAAGCUCAUGUCACCAAGGUUGGCGGCCAGCUAGGAGAGCAAGAGCUAUACAUAUAAUUAGUCCCUUUUGAUUUGGGUCGAUGUGGUAUUCUCUUUCGUUCGAGAAUGCUUUUACUUGUUGAGGUGAUGAGCUUGGGAACUUCAUGGAAAAGUUUAAAAUGAAUAUUUGGAUAAAAAUUAGACAAUAGGUUUAUAUAAUUUGUGAAUAAAUUCAUCCUCAUAAUUCUAAUUUGAUUUUGUAUUGAAGUUGAUUUCAAUAUAUAACAUUGAAGUGUACAUAAUAUUGUAAUUGAA